GAUGAACGCUGGCGGCGUGCCUAAUACAUGCAAGUCGAGCGAACAGACGAGGAGCUUGCUCCUCUGACGUUAGCGGCGGACGGGUGAGUAACACGUGGAUAACCUACCUAUAAGACUGGGAUAACUUCGGGAAACCGGAGCUAAUACCGGAUAAUAUAUUGAACCGCAUUGUUCAAUAGUGAAAGACGGUUUUGCUGUCACUUAUAGAUGGAUCCGCGCCGCAUUAGCUAGUUGGUAAGGUAACGGCUUACCAAGGCAACGAUGCGUAGCCGACCUGAGAGGGUGAUCGGCCACACUGGAACUGAGACACGGUCCAGACUCCUACGGGAGGCAGCAGUAGGGAAUCUUACGCAAUGGGCGAAAGCCUGACGGAGCAACGCCGAGUGAGUGAUGAAGGUCUUCGGAUCGUAAAACUCUGUUAUUAGGGAAGAACAAAUGUGUAAGUAACUAUGCACGUCUUGACGGUACCUAAUCAGAAAGCCACGGCUAACUACGUG
rnacentral:rRNA from 1 species